GGGGUCGUGGUAUAGUUGGUUAGCGCGCAGAUUUCAUAAGUCUGAAGUCGUGAUUUCGAGCCUCACCGAUCUCA
rnacentral:tRNA from 1 species